rnacentral:tRNA from 1 species
CAUUAAGUAGCUUAAAUAGUAAAGCAUUGGUCUCUUAAACCAAUUAUAGUAAUUUUACUCUUAAUGA